GAUGAACGCUGGCGGCGUGCCUAAUACAUGCAAGUCGAGCGAACGGACGAGAAGCUUGCUUUUCUGAUGUUAGCGGCGGACGGGUGAGUAACACGUGGAUAACCUACCUAUAAGACUGGGAUAACUUCGGGAAACCGGAGCUAAUACCGGAUAAUAUUUUGAACCGCAUGGUUCAAAAGUGAAAGACGGUCUUGCUGUCACUUAUAGAUGGAUCCGCGCUGCAUUAGCUAGUUGGUAAGGUAACGGCUUACCAAGGCAACGAUGCAUAGCCGACCUGAGAGGGUGAUCGGCCACACUGGAACUGAGACACGGUCCAGACUCCUACGGGAGGCAGCAGUAGGGAAUCUUCCGCAAUGGGCGAAAGCCUGACGGAGCAACGCCGCGUGAGUGAUGAAGGUCUUCGGAUCGUAAAACUCUGUUAUUAGGGAAGAACAGAUGUGUGAGUAACUGUGCACAUCUUGACGGUACCUAAUCAGAAAGCCACGGCUAACUACGUG
rnacentral:rRNA from 1 species